rnacentral:rRNA from 1 species
GAUUGAACGCUGGCGGCAGGCCUAACACAUGCAAGUCGAGCGGCAGCGGAAAGUAGCUUGCUACUUUGCCGGCGAGCGGCGGACGGGUGAGUAAUGUCUGGGAAACUGCCUGAUGGAGGGGGAUAACUACUGGAAACGGUAGCUAAUACCGCAUAACGUCGCAAGACCAAAGAGGGGGACCUUCGGGCCUCUUGCCAUCAGAUGUGCCCAGAUGGGAUUAGCUAGUAGGUGGGGUAACGGCUCACCUAGGCGACGAUCCCUAGCUGGUCUGAGAGGAUGACCAGCCACACUGGAACUGAGACACGGUCCAGACUCCUACGGGAGGCAGCAGUGGGGAAUAUUGCACAAUGGGCGCAAGCCUGAUGCAGCCAUGCCGCGUGUAUGAAGAAGGCCUUCGGGUUGUAAAGUACUUUCAGCGGGGAGGAAGGYGYUGAGGUUAAUAACCUCAGCGAUUGACGUUACCCGCAGAAGAAGCACCGGCUAACUCC